rfam:Synechococcus phage S-SSM7, complete genome.
GGGAGUGUGGUGGAAUCGGUAGACACACCAGACUUAAAAUCUGUUGACAGCAAUGUCGUGGGGGUUCAAGUCCCCCCACUCCCA